rnacentral:rRNA from 1 species
UACGUAGGGUGCAAGCGUUAAUCGGAAUUACUGGGCGUAAAGCGUGCGCAGGCGGUUUUGUAAGGCAGAUGUGAAAUGCCCGGGCUUAACCUGGGAACUGCAUUUGUGACUGCAAGGCUAGAGUUUGGCAGAGGGGGGUAGAAUUCCACGUGUAGCAGUGAAAUGCGUAGAUAUGUGGAGGAAUACCGAUGGCGAAGGCAGCCCCCUGGGUCAAGACUGACGCUCAUGCACGAAAGCGUGGGGAGCAAACAGG